rnacentral:rRNA from 1 species
CAGUCGAGCGACGGACGAGAAGCUUGCUUCUCUGAUGUUAGCGGCGGACGGGUGAGUAACACGUGGAUAACCUACCUAUAAGACUGGGAUAACUUCGGGAAACCGGAGCUAAUACCGGAUAAUAUUUUGAACCGCAUGGUUCAAAAGUGAAAGACGGUCUUGCUGUCACUUAUAGAUGGAUCCGCGCUGCAUUAGCUAGUUGGUAAGGUAACGGCUUACCAAGGCAACGAUGCAUAGCCGACCUGAGAGGGUGAUCGGCCACACUGGAACUGAGACACGGUCCAGACUCCUACGGGAGGCAGCAGUAGGGAAUCUUCCGCAAUGGGCGAAAGCCUGACGGAGCAACGCCGCGUGAGUGAUGAAGGUCUUCGGAUCGUAAAACUCUGUUAUUAGGGAAGAACAUAUGUGUAAGUAACUGUGCACAUCUUGACGGUACCUAAUCAGAAAGCCACGGCUAACUACGUGCCAGCAGCCGCGGUAAUACGUAGGUGGCAAGCGUUAUCCGGAAUUAUUGGGCGUAAAGCGCGCGUAGGCGGUUUUUUAAGUCUGAUGUGAAAGCCCACGGCUCAACCGUGGAGGGUCAUUGGAAACUGGAAAACUUGAGUGCAGAAGAGGAAAGUGGAAUUCCAUGUGUAGCGGUGAAAUGCGCAGAGAUAUGGAGGAACACCAGUGGCGAAGGCGACUUUCUGGUCUGUAACUGACGCUGAUGUGCGAAAGCGUGGGGAUCAAACAGGAUUAGAUACCCUGGUAGUCCACGCCGUAAACGAUGAGUGCUAAGUGUUAGGGGGUUUCCGCCCCUUAGUGCUGCAGCUAACGCAUUAAGCACUCCGCCUGGGGAGUACGACCGCAAGGUUGAAACUCAAAGGAAUUGACGGGGACCCGCACAAGCGGUGGAGCAUGUGGUUUAAUUCGAAGCAACGCGAAGAACCUUACCAAAUCUUGACAUCCUUUGACAACUCUAGAGAUAGAGCUUUCCCCUUCGGGGGACAAAGUGACAGGUGGUGCAUGGUUGUCGUCAGCUCGUGUCGUGAGAUGUUGGGUUAAGUCCCGCAACGAGCGCAACCCUUAAGCUUAGUUGCCAUCAUUAAGUUGGGCACUCUAAGUUGACUGCCGGUGACAAACCGGAGGAAGGUGGGGAUGACGUCAAAUCAUCAUGCCCCUUAUGAUUUGGGCUACACACGUGCUACAAUGGACAAUACAAAGGGCAGCGAAACCGCGAGGUCAAGCAAAUCCCAUAAAGUUGUUCUCAGUUCGGAUUGUAGUCUGCAACUCGACUACAUGAAGCUGGAAUCGCUAGUAAUCGUAGAUCAGCAUGCUACGGUGAAUACGUUCCCGGGUCUUGUACACACCGCCCGUCACACCACGAGAGUUUGUAACACCCGAAGCCGGUGGAGUAA